rnacentral:lncRNA from 1 species
GGUUCUUAGGAGAAAAGUUUUCUUCCUAAUAAUUCUUACACUUUAUAUUUUGCUUGAAAACAUCUACAUACAUAGAAAGGGUAUUUACCCAUUCUUGAGCACUUAAAACACUCCACACAAUCAGACAGUGGGAAAGGUUCCUUUUUUAUUAUUAUUAUUCAGCAGGUAUAAAGGGAGAAUAUUGGGACUGUGUAUAAAAUUAUAUUUUAUUUUAUGAAAAUAUUUUUAUAUGACAAAACUUAAGAGGCUGGGAAUAGAAGCUAAAAGAUAGCCUUCUUUAGUCCUAGUAUGUUUUCCCCCAAUUUAGUCUAUUCUAAAUUUGCAUUUAUCUCUCUGUUUUAGAGUGGAAAAUAUUAUUACCUGAGAAUAGCAUAAUCAUCUGAAAAUGUUUUCUUGAAACUAGGGUGAUUAUAGUUUUUUUUUUUUUUUUUGGUUGCUGGUUUUUUUUUACUAUAUUACUAAAGUCCACUUUGAUACAGAAUUUAAAUUUUGCUACUUCUCAAUAUCAGUUAAGAUUCUUUAGUUUUACCUGCCCAUCUUUACAUUGUUCCUGUAAUGUCUGUUAAUUCUGCAUAUGGCAAAUCUUGUCUUGAAUUAUAUCAUCCUUUCCUGUGAAUGUGUGUGUGUUGGGCGGGGGUUGUUAUAAUUAAAACCUGAUCAAAACAUGGACUAAAAAAGAGAUAAUUCGUGAUCCAUUUCUAUCUUUGUAUUCAAAAGCCACUCAUUCCCACGACAGCAGAUCCAUACCAUUUGUUGUUCACUUCAGAUUUUCCCAUGGAUUUCCAUACUCUUUAAUGUUAUGCUACCCCAUCCAUUCGGGGCUUUCAAAAACUAACUCUGAGUCAGGAAUAUAAGGGUACAUAAUAGGUAUAACAGGAGUUCUCUCGUGGAGCAGUAGAUUAAAGAUCUGGCAUUCUCACUGUAGAGGCUCAGGUCACUGCUGGGGUGCAGGUUCAGUUCAUGACCUGGGAACUUCCACCUGCUACAGGUAUGGCAGGAAAAAAAAAGAAUAGGUAGGACAUAUAGUAUAAUAAGUAUAAUUGGAGCUUUUGAAGUUAUUUUCUCCAAAAUUUUAUUUAGCCACUGUAUUUCUGAGCACUCACAUAGACUGAAGCACAGCAGUUGUACAAUGCUUUUUUAUAUGAGCACAUAGAUCCAUGACACAAUUAAGUACUUGUUCGACAAGUGUUCGAUUCAUUGCAGAGAGAUGGUCUACUUGAAUUAAUAAAAAGGUACAUCACACUAGAUUAUUAGGGAAGACAAUAGGAAAUCUGACAUUGUAGAAGGAAAACACUUGGGAGAGCUGAGAGCCUAUGCAAGUAGACAUCUAAGGAGUCUGAUUUUGUUAAUAUCAAGAGAUUAGAGACAUUAUGUUCAAGCAGUGCCUUCCUCCAUCUUGUUUUAUAUAAACCUUUUCAAGUGAAAUUGUGUUGUUUGCCAUUGUUUUAGUGCUCAUGAACUUUCUUACCAUCAUAGGUUCUACUUGACUCUAAUGUUCUUUGCCAUUCAUGUUUUCAACUUACUGGACUUUAGCCACUGUAGGAACAAAGAGCCAUCAGAAUAGUUCUGGGUACAUAGAGGGAAUUGAGCUGCAUCAGUCUUAGUGGGUACAGAACAGAAUCCAGAAUACUGGAAAGUAAGAAAUGAAAGUUAAGUGCUGAGUUGGCUGGAUGCUGGGUACCAGUUACUGAGUUGGCUUUUGAGAGUCUGCACCUGGAACAAUCAUCUGCAGUAAGGUUGCUGAACAGUCACACAAGCCCAUGUAUUUCAUGGGGCUGCAGGGAAGGUGUAUGCAUCGCAAGAGAGGUACCAUCACCACGGACACCAGUUCCCCAGCUGAGUUUGAAAAACAGGACCUGAAUUUCAUAGGUGUGAUACGGCUCCUCUUUAUCCCCUUGGCUUUGUUAAAUUUUUUAAAUCGAAAUUAACUCUCUCUUUAAAGAGCUUCCUUUCUCCUUCCAUCCCCUGCAACCCCCAUUUGUACUCUAAAAAGCCCCAUUUGUAUAUAUUUUUUGCUGGGUUUUGCUUUAUUUGAUUCUGUGCUUCAUUCUCCACACUGGCAAGUAAGUACCAAACAAAGAAUGGAAGUCUAAAAGUAUGAUAAACCUCCUCUUCUCCCUUAUUGCCCACACGGGCAGCAGCUAACGGGAUAGUUGGUUGAUUUGAGUGGUUCUUUGGGAAUAUAUUCUUUUUAAAUGUACAUACAUGUUUUGAUAUGUUUUUAUAUUCUUUAAUUUUUAUUAUAUUUUGUCCUGACAAGAAAAGUGAAAUAACUGUCCUACGAAAAUCUUUUCUACCCUUUCUAUUUUGCCUCUGUGGGUAAGAGCUACAGAGUAGUUAUUUGAUUUCCUUUUUUUGGAAGAUGGUAAUAUUGGGGUAAGAGCAGAGUGUGUUCUUUUUAAAAAUGUGUACAAAUGCACUGCUAUUUUGUGGGUGUUGUUUGAUGUUGUAUUUCAUCCUUCUCAUGGGUAAGUAGAUAUCUAGUGAACCAUAAAGGUCCAAAAGUAUGACAAAUGUCCCCUUUACCCUUCUUCCUGUUGACCAUGUGGACAUUACCGAGUAGUUGUAGUUCAUUCUGAUCUAAUCGAGUCUUGAGGAGAUGGGGGGUGGGGGGAGUGUUGUAUAGCCUUCUUUCAAAUGUACAUAAAUUAUAUAAAUAUUAAGCUACUUUGUAAUAUUUCAUUUUAUAUGUGUUCCUUUGCAUGAAUGCACAUGUACUAAAUGAAAACUGAGCUUCAGAGUAUGACACAUCUUUUCCCUUUUCCUCCUUGCCUCUUUGGGCAAUAGCUAGUUUGUUUUUGUGGCGUGGGAGAGAGUGGGGUAUGUACUUACUGUAUAUAAAUAAAUCUACUACUUUUGUAUUAUAACAAAUCCAUUUGGUACUAUGUCCUUCUCAUAGGACAUGAAAGUACCUAAUGAGACAUGGAGGUCCGCAUGUAUGACAGUCUCCUCUUGUCCCCUUCCUGUGUUGCCCAUGGGGCAAUGGCUAGUAGAGUAGUUGCUGGAGUGUGGUUUGGUGGAGGGAGGGCGGGUGGCAGGCAGGGCUGUGUACUUGCUUCUUGUAUAUUCCUGCUUUUACUACUAUGUUGAAUCCUUUCAUUGGGUGCCCAGACUGGAAGGUACCUAAUGAGACACAGGAGUCCGGAUGUAUAACAGUCUCCUCUCAUCCCUUUCCCUUGUUGCACGUGUGGGCAAUGGCUAGAGGCUUAGCUAAUUAGUUUCAGCCCUUCUUUUGGGGGAUGGGGGUACUUUUUAAAUAUAUAUAUUCAUGUUUUUACUUCCUUAUUAUAUUUCACUGGGUACCAGUCCUUCACUUGGACGUAUGGGUUGCUAGUGAACCAUGCAGUUCUGUAUGUGCAGCAGUCUCCUCCCCUCCCCCUUUUAUAUGUAGGCAAUAAUUUGACAGAAGUUUGAGCUUUUGAAGUUUGGUGGGGGCAGGGGUGGAAAGGGACUAAGGGCAGGAUAUAUACUUUCGAAACCUGUAUAUGUACAAUGUGUUUCUACAUUGUGUUUUUCCAUUUAGUACGCAUCCCUUGCUUGCAUGUGGAGGUCCUGAUGUAUGAAAAUCUCUUCCCCAUUUCUUGGUGCCUCAGUGGGCAAUAGUUUUGGUCUAGAUUACUAUUUUUACCUCUGUCAUGCCCUCCCCUGCGAGGAUAGAAAUAUGUACUUUUUAAAAUGUAUAUAAGGGGUUUUUGUUCCUCUUUCCUGUUACUUCGUUUUGUACCUAAACCUCUCCAUGGAUACUUAGGCACAUGAUGAAAAUUAAGGUUCAUUCUAUGAAAAAAAUCUCUCCUCCCCUUCCCUUCUUGCCUGUCUGGGCAAUGACUAGCAUAGUUGUUUUGACUGGGGUCAGGGUUGGGGGAGGGGGGAAACAGGGUGGCAGGGGAUUUCUGGGCUGCAUUGUUUUCACAUAUAUAAAUGUCUGUGGGUUUUUUGUUCUCUCGCUUCAAACCUAGUGUUUUCUUUCGACUUGUAGAGGCCCAGAUCCAGAGGUCUUUGUUUUUCCCCUUCCCCUAUCACCUGGGUGCCUGGGCGUUAGUGUAAGAGUACUUUAGGAUUUGGCUUUGUUUUUGAGGGUUUUAAUGGAGCAUGAGCUUGUUUUUGCCUCUUUUAGUGUUUUUGCCUCUUUCAGCAUUCAUUUUGAACCUAAUCUUCUGCAUGACUAUUUAGGAACUUAAUGAAAGUUGAGAUUGAUUCUGUGAAAAAUCUCCCCUCCCCUGCCCCCUUCCCUCGUUGCAUAAUGGGCAAUGGAAGAAGAGAUGGUGGGGAGCAUGGGGUGUGUGUGUGUGUGUACUUUUAAAAUAUAUAUUAUGUUUGCUAUGCCUUAUAUUCUCUCAUUUAGUACCCAGUCCUUUGCUGGGCUCUGUAGGUACAUAGUGAAACGUGGAGGUCCAAAUGUAUGAUAGAUCUCCUCUGCUCCCUUCCCUCACUGCCUGUGUGGGCAAGAGUUUAAUAAUUGGAUUUUUUUUUCCCCUCUGAGGGAGGGAUUACUGGGUGGGGUAGUGGUUAAUGGGAAAGAACAGAGUAUGACUUUUAAGAAAUGCAUACAGAGGUUUUCAUGUUACCGAUCUUUUAAAUCUAGUUCUUUGGGUGGAUGUCAAGGUACCAAAUGCAGAUUGAGGCUGAGCGUGUGACCACUUCUCCUUCUCCCCUUCUUGUCUCUGUAGGCAACAGCUUGUAGAAGAGUUGUAUGUUGUGUGCUUACUUGUCGUAGAUGUAUGUUUUUGGCAGGGGCACAGUCUUAAUACAUAGGAAUGUUUUCAUUUCUUAUUUUGUAUUUAGUCCCUUCACUGGCUAUGUAGGGACCUAGUGAAAAUUUUCAUAGAUUAGCAGAUUACUUCUUCCUUUCACGUCUAUUUCCUCCUUUAGCUGGAUCUAAUACGUUGUUUUGUGGUUAUUUUGUUCUCUAUGAUAUAUGCCUUUAUGUAUACAUAUGUAAUUUGCUUUUCUUCCUUCAUUAUUUUCCUUGAAAUGCAUUCAAGCCCUGGAUCAGUAUCUAACAGAAAAGUCCCACCAAUCCUGGCCAUCUGAUCUAAGGUGCAACACUGUGGUGGUGUAACUAAUGCCAGCAGGCAUGUGGCAGACAAGAUGGGAGAGGACACUUGGAUAUGGUUGAGUUGUGAAAGCUAAUUAGAUCCAGCUUUUCUUAGGUUGACCCAGACUGAAUGAAAAUGGUGAGACGGGACCUAUACUUUGGGAGUUCCAGGAAGUCCAGAUGGUACUUAAAGUAUGUUUAAAUUUUUUGCUGAUUAAUGACUAGUUUAUAUUACUGAAAGAUUCAUCAGCAAAUGUGCUGCCGAGAACUCAUUUGCAGACCCUUGAGAGUAGUUUCUUUCUGAGGCCUGGAAUUCUGACCCAUUUACAGAAGUCCGUUACAGUUCCAUCAGUAGCAUAUUCUUUUGUACUCGGUAGAACUUAUCUUGGCUUUUGGAAGGAAUCUUUUUGAGUUAUUGCCAAUAUUCUAAUAAAUGACAACACGGGCCCCAAAACUAAUCCGAAAAGAAUUUAGGGGGCAAGCCCUUCUGUCUUCUAACACCUUACACAUGGUAGGGCGAGUUGGCCCUUUCCUACCCAGAGCUGUUCUGUGUGGCUGCAUCUCUGUCCUCAAUUUUCCAUUAGCUGAACCAUUCCUGUUCAUUUUUCCUUUGUGUCUCCAGUGCUUGCAUUGUUAGACAUUAUCUUCAAGUGCACUGAGAAACGUUAAGCCCACGUUGCCUCAUUAGCUGUAUGUUUUUGCUAUAUGUUUUCAUACAUCCAGCCCUGUGUGUUUGCUUUCAGCAUUCUUGAAUCAUACUUCACAUUGGCUCUUCAUCCAUCACCUGGUAAAUGUUAUGACUCCACAUUUGUCUUUAUCAAGGAAAACGCAUGUGUAAAAUCCAUCCAUGCUGUUCUCCCUCUGAAAUUCUCUGAGCACUGUUCGUUCUGCAGUUUAUAAUGAAUAUAAUGCUGAAGAUUUGCCAUAUUAUUUUUAGAAAGUGAUAGGACUCCUAGAAAAUUUGCAAAGAGAUGUUAUUUACCAUAUCAAACUCUCAGGUUCUAGUGUUGAAAAUAUUUGCUUAUAUUUUACUGUUACUUAAACCUGCUGCUGUAGGAAAAAAAAAUAAAAGUUUAUUCAUGACAUUUAACUUUGAUCAUAAAUAAAAGGGGGCACCUUUUUGGAGUUAGUCAUGGUAGUCUUUAGCAACAGUUUUUAAUUUGAAAUACUUCAAAGGAAGUAAAGGUCAGGGCUUAGCUGAAUGAAAUGCUCCAGAACUUGAACUGCAUAAAGCAUCAGUACAGUAAUACACUCAUGUGGAUAAAAGGAGAAUUACAGCAUAAUGGGAGCAUUUUCAUUAAUCAAUAAACUCACAUUGAGACAAAACCUAAGCUAUCAUGAUUAAAGCCAAUUGUUCCAUGUUGCUGUGAAGAAUAGUCUAUCACUUCGAAAAUUACUUCAAAACUUCUAUCACACUUUUGUAUUUAAACACUUAUAGGGAUCUCCAAUUUCUUCAAUCUGAGCUUGUGUUAGAAUUCUAAAUUUGUAUCAUAAUCUUGUCUUUUGUGGAAGAUUUUGAAAAUAGUAUGUAUAUAUAAUAUAUAUGCAAACUGUGUUUUGUCACUUGUAAAGGGAAAAGGCUUAUAUUUCUUUAUACUUCUGAUAACUUGUUUUGCAUAUGACCAGCACUGACUGAAAGGCAUGUGUACCUGCAAACACUGUUGCUUUUUUUUGUGAAAUGAAAAUAAAAGUAUUU